rnacentral:rRNA from 1 species
UACGAAGGGGGCUAGCGUUGCUCGGAAUCAUUGGGCGUAAAGGGUGCGUAGGCGGUUCUUUAAGUCAGGGGUGAAAUCCUGGAGCUCAACUCCAGAACUGCCUUUGAUACUGAAGUUCUUGAGUUCGGGAGAGGUGAGUGGAACUGCGAGUGUAGAGGUGAAAUUCGUAGAUAUUCGCAAGAACACCAGUGGCGAAGGCGGCUCACUGGCCCGAUACUGACGCUGAGGCACGAAAGCGUGGGGAGCAAACAGG